CCUAAUGGUACAAUGUAUUGUUAAGCACUUUGUUAAUGAAAAAUAAUGGGAAUGGUUAUCUUUGCCACCUAAUUUGAUCAAAUGCUGAUUAUUUUUUCUUGCUACAUAAGUUACAGUUACAAUUAAAUUGUGAUAGUUCUCAAAAUGGAUUACAUUUUCUAAAUGACUCAUCAUUUUUAAAUUCCAGGGCAGAAUACAUUGGACAGGGGUUGGUGCGUUCGAAGAAACUUGCUGUAGUUGAUGUUGAACAUAUAGAUGAUGAAAAGGAAAAUGACAUAGAUGAUUCAGUAGAGUUGAAGAAAAUGAUCUCUUUGUUGCAAGAAGAGAAAAAUCAGAUGCAGAAACAGAUUGACAGUCUUACAGAAAACAAACGAAGAAGAGAAACAGACUCCCAAAAUAAUCAGGGAAAGUGGAAUGUUGGUGAUACAGUCAGGGCAAAAUGGUGCGACAAUGAAUUUUACACUGCCAAAGUACAGAAAGUGGAAACAA
rnacentral:lncRNA from 1 species